GAAAGAAUUCAAUGUGUGCAGUGAUCUCUAUUAUUCCAAAUCCAACUUGUUCGUGCUGCCUAUAAAUGCAUACCAUACCGCACCCCAUAGCAAUACACACUUGCAGACUCCACACAAAAAAAGCAAAGAAAAAACCCACGAUAGGUGGGAAGGGAGAGGAGAGGGAGCGCAAGGAAAGGGAGGAGUCCCUAGCUCUAGAACCAAAAAUACCAGGGUGGCUAGCUUCUGCUGGAUUGCCAUGCGCUAUGAGGUAGAGAACGGGAUGCAGCCAAGGAUGACUUGCCGGCUCCUCAAAUUUGAAGCGUCGUCUAAGCUGCUGAGGCUUAAUAAAAACUUAGUCGGCAAGUCUGUCCUUGGCUACACCUAGUUCUCUUCCUCUCGUGUAUGGCCCUCAAGCACCGUCAAAAGAGCUCUAAGAUCUGCAUUCAUAUCAGCUCCAUAAGGAAGUGUAAGGACAGACCAAAUAAAGUGAAGUACAACAUGCACUUGCACGACAAGAUUCCUCAAGGCUCCUCUGCUCAGCAACAGCAAAUGUCAUAUAUAGCAUCCACAGUAGAUUGUUGAAACAAAAGGAAGCAUGUAGCAUGCAGGACAGCAUCGGGGCAGAAAGCGAGCAUCAACCAUGGAGUUGAUGUGUACCAUGUAGAGGAAGUGUUGCAUUCCUUUAUUCAAAAGGUUAAGCUUUCCUCGUGUAAUCAGUAAUUGUGGUCCUGCUUCAUGUGAAAAAGAUGCUUAUGAAUACCAAGAGAUUGGCCGACCAAAGCCUAAAAACGA